rnacentral:rRNA from 1 species
ACGAGGUAGCAAUACUUAGUGGCAGACGGGUGAGUAACAUGUGGGUAUCUGCCCUUUGGCCUGGAAUAACACGAGGAAACUUGUGCUAAUACCGGAUAAGUCUUUACGGAGAAAGCUUUAUGCACCAUUGGAUGAGCCCGCACUUGAUUAGUUAGUUGGUAGGGUAAUGGCCUACCAAGACUGUGAUCAAUAGCUGAUUUGAGAGGAUGAUCAGCCACAUUGGGACUGAGACACGGCCCAAACUCCUACGGGAGGCAGCAGUGGGGAAUCUUGCACAAUGGAGGAAACUCUGAUGCAGCGAUGCCGCGUGAGUGAAGAAGGCCCUUGGGUUGUAAAGCUCUUUCGUCGGGGAAGAAAAUGACUGUACCCGAAUAAGAAGGUCCGGCUAACUUCGUGCCAGCAGCCGCGGUAAUACGAAGGGACCUAGCGUAGUUCGGAAUUACUGGGCUUAAAGAGUUCGUAGGUGGUUGAAAAAGUUGGUGGUGAAAUCCCAGAGCUUAACUCUGGAACUGCCAUCAAAACUUUUCAGCUAGAGUAUGAUAGAGGAAAGCAGAAUUUCUAGUGUAGAGGUGAAAUUCGUAGAUAUUAGAAAGAAUACCGAUUGCGAAGGCAGCUUUCUGGAUCAUUACUGACACUGAGGAACGAAAGCAUGGGUAGCGAAGAGGAUUAGAUACCCUCGUAGUCCAUGCCGUANACGAUGUGUGUUAGACGUUGGAAAUUUAUUUUCAGUGUCGCAGCGAAAGCGAUAAACACACCGCCUGGGGAGUACGACCGCGAGGUUAAAACUCAAAUGAAUUGACGGGGACCCGCACAAGUAGUGGAGCAU